GCCAGUGAAACCAUGUAUGUCAUCAGCACUCGGCACCUGAAAUCACAAAGCACCCAAUAGGACUCCAGAACUCCAGAACAGAAGACAAAGGUUUCCCACAACAUGGGUGUACAAGGAGGAGGUGAAUUCAUUGGCACCUCCAAUGCAAGAUGUAGGUGGGUCUCGUACUGCAAAUUCUUGUCCUUGCGCUCUUUGAUUAUUCUUCUCGACACCAUUCUAGCACUUGGGAACCUUACGUGCUCCACAGCAACGUGGCAAAGAAGAUGCAAACAACCUUUGCUCUGGUGUUCAAGAAAGGGGG
rnacentral:lncRNA from 1 species